rnacentral:rRNA from 1 species
UACAGGGGGGGCAAGCGUUGUUCGGAAUUACUGGGCGUAAAGGGCUCGUAGGUGGCCAACUAAGUCGGACGUGAAAUCCCUCGGCUUAACCGGGGAACUGCGUCCGAUACUGGUUGGCUUGAGUUUGGGAGAGGGAUGCGGAAUUCCAGGUGUAGCGGUGAAAUGCGUAGAUAUCUGGAGGAACACCGGUGGCGAAGGCGGCAUCCUGGACCGGUAUUGACGCUGAGGCGCGAAAGCCAGGGGAGCAAACGGG